rnacentral:lncRNA from 1 species
AUGUCCUUUCGAAAGCCACCUCCUCCCACAAACUCCCCUGAUCCCCCUAAAUCAGCCUUAUCAACCGGCUGCUCUCACAUAACUCUGUUCUAUCUUCCUCAGAGCAUCGGGACCCUCAUCACGUUAUUCGUUCAUUCAUUUACUCUCUCUGUCCUCUAUGACCCUUUGUUCACAGGCGUUACUCUAAAAUGUACCCAGGACUCUGGUUUCACUCAGCGAAGGGGAGGUCAACAGGUCAGCAGGCCACCACAGCUGAAGAUUUUAUUCGGUUUGUUUGUUUUGUUUUUGGCAAGACCGGGCUUUUAUCCGCUGCAUGCAUGCACAAGAUCUUGCUGCCUUUCAAUCAAGCAUAUAAAUUAGCCACAAGCCUUUGGAUGAAGAUACAAAGAAAUAAUGGCAUCACAGUAUAAUCUCAGCACAAAAGAUGCAGAGGCUGAUUGUGCUUUCAUGUGUCUAAUCCCCAUCUCCCCCACAAGUUCUUAAGUGGUAUUAAGGAAAGAACUGUGACUUCCAUUCUCUGGACUCCCAAUGAGCCCUAUUCAGUCCUCCGCCAUGGCAUUUACUGUGUUUAAUAUGAUUGACAUAUUUGCAUAUCUGUCUCUCCACUACCCUCUGAGGUUCUUCAGAAAUCUAAGUCACCCGGUUAUUCAGUAAAUGAUAGAUAUUCCAUAAAUGGUGUCGCAAGGUAAGGAGCACACUUUUUUUUAAGUGUAAUAAAAGUCUUAGAUGAAGCA